rnacentral:lncRNA from 10 species
UUCUGCGUUACCACAGUCAUCAGAGUCCAAUUUACUCUUCAGGGGCCCUAAUCAUUCUAUACCUGAACUGGACAGAAAGAAAAUAAUUUGUUCACUUAACAGAAAGAAAGUCUAUACUCCCAAAACAAAAUGAGUCAGACAGUGAUCUUUGAAUUAACAGGCUCUGCUGACGGACUAUUUUCCCCACUUUUCAUCAGUCUGGUGACAGUGGACUCUGGACAGAGAUAAAUGAGAGGUCAAGCUACCCUUCAUUUUUCCAGAGGAUUAUUUCACCCACAGAUAAGGCACGAAGAAGGAAGUAAUAGUCAAGACCAGCCUGUGAGAAAACAACAAAAAAAGGAUAACUAACAAAAGCCCCAUUCUCCAGCUCUUGCCCCGGCCAGCGCUUCAGCACGGAGAAUAGUCCUGGACUGAGCUUCAGAAGAUCUCAGAUCACUGACGUUCUGUCUAGAAGAAUACUCCAAGAUAUAUUUCUAAGUAAUAUUCCUUCUCUUGUUGGGGGAAAUUAGAGAAGAUUUCUACCUGGUGCCAUAUCAACUCAAGGAUGGAGUCAAAUACUGAGAGGCUCUGUCAUCUGUCUUUGGAUCUCCUUCUUACCAGCUUAUGAUCUCCUGAUUGGAACUAACAUGACGCUUGAUAAAAUGAAGUACAUAACAUAACAACUGCAUUGAUUUAGAAAUACGAGGACUUGUUUUGGAUUCCAAGUCUAACUGCAGAUCUGGGGACAGCACACACUUUACACCUUGGAUUCUGGGAUACAUUUGAUUUCAAAUAUUGAUGGUGAAAAUUCUAACAAGGAGCAAACAGCAAAGAACUGAAAUGCUAUACAGACUCCAGUGAGAAAAAACUGAGGUAAUUGGUUUCGGUGUGCUGGUGCUUGAAACUCUAUCCCAGUGCUUCCUUCAACUAAGGCUGCAAAUUGAAAAUGUGAAGAACCUUGCCUGCUUGAACCAGCCUGGGCUUGUGGCAGCAUCAUUCUGUCACUUAAUUCUUCUCACAGAGAUCACAUAGCUUUGCUUCCAUACCUAAAUUACUACAAAUUUGUGUCCGCUUGAAUGUUAUGUAAUUUAACCAGAAAUUGAAGAAAUACCACCAUUUUAAAGAAAAUAUGGUCAUAAACACUAUGGAAUACUAUGCAACCAUAACAAGAAUGAAAUCAUGUCCUUUGCAGCAACAUGGAUGUAGCUGGAGGCCAUUAUCCUGGGCAAAUUUGCAGGAGCAGAAAACCAGAUACCACAUCUCACAUGUAAGUGGGAGCUAAGCAUUUGGUAUACAUGGAUAUAAAGAUGGGAAAAAUAGACACUUGGUGACUAUUAGAGAGAGGAAAGAGGGAGAAGGGAGAAGCUAAAAACUACCUGUUGGGUAUUAUGCUCACUACUUGGGUGAUGGGAUCGUUUGUACCCCAAGCCUCAGCAUCACACGGUAUACCCAUGUAACAAACCUGCACACGGAUCCCCUGAAUCUAAAAUAAAAGUUGAAAUUAUUGUUUAAAAAAAAGGAUCUAAUAAACAUAGUAUUACAAUGUUGAUGCAUCCCUUAUUUUUAUUUAUUUAUUUAUUUUUGAGAUGCAACCUCCACCUCCUGGGUUCAAGCGAUUCUCCUGCCUCAGCCUCCUGAGUAGCAGGGAUUACAGGUGCAUGCCACCAUGCCCAGCUAAUUUUUUAUAUCUUUAGUAGAGACGGGGUUUCACCAUGUUGGCCAGGCUGGUCUCAAACUCCUGACUUUGUGAUCCACCUGCUUCGGCCUCCCAAAGUGCUGGGAUUUCAGGCGUGAGCCACCGCGCCC